rnacentral:rRNA from 1 species
UGUGCUAAUACGGUAUAAGACCACACGGAGGCAUCUCUGAGGGGUAAAAGCUGAGGCGGUACAGGAGGGGCUCGCGGCCCAUUAGAUAGUUGGUGAGGUAACGGCCCACCAAGUCGACGAUGGGUAGCCGACCUGAGAGGGUGAUCGGCCACAUUGGAACUGAGAUACGGUCCAAACUCCUACGGGAGGCAGCAGUGGGGAAUAUUGGGCAAUGGAGGCAACUCUGACCCAGCAACGCCGCGUGAAUGAAGAAGGCCUUCGGGUUGUAAAGUUCUUUAAUGGGGAACGAAGAAAGUGACGGUACCCCAAGAAUAAGCCACGGCUAACUACGUGCCAGCAGCCGCGGUAAUACGUAGGUGGCAAGCGUUGUCCGGAAUGACUGGGCGUAAAGGGAGCGUAGGCGGCGCAACAAGUUAGGAGUGAAAUCCCGGGGCUUAACUCCGGAACUGCUUUUAAAACUGUUGUGCUUGAGUGAUGGAGAGGAAAGCGGAAUUCCUAGUGUAGCGGUGGAAUGCGUAGAUAUUAGGAGGAACACCAGAGGCGAAGGCGGCUUUCUGGACAUUAACUGACGCUGAGGCUCGAAAGCGUGGGGAGCAAACAGGAUUAGAUACCCUGGUAGUCCACGCCGUAAACGAUGGAUACUAGAUGCGGGAGGUAUCGACUCCUUCCGUGUCGUCGCAAACGCAGUAA